CCUAGCACACUAAUACAUUAAGCAAUUCCUGACUAUGCAGCCAGCUCUACUCCAGGGAAGAGAAGGCUCAGUCUCUCCCUUCAAAGAGGUAAGAUAGACACAUUAAAAAGUUAACAGGAUAUUGUUACAUGUUACAAUGAAUGGGAAGGACCUUGUGAAGAAGAAGACAUGAGCUCCAAUCUGGAGGGCUUCCCAGAGGAAGUGGGCUUCCAGGGGCCCUGAAAGAUGCUAAGAACUUAGAAGAGUCAAGAGAGAAGUUAGGACAUUAGGAGAGAAUUCUAGAGGCCAGGAUGAAUGUGGGGAAGGAUGGCGAGAAAACCAGCUUGGUUGGAGUAGAAACUUCCACUGGGGAAUGGACAAGAAGGGCUCGAGGGGAAGAAGAGUAAGAGCCAGUCUUGGAGGGUGUGGUAGGUGGAAUAAUGGCCCUCCAAGGGUAUCCAAGUCCUAAUCCCUGAAACCUGUAAAUAUGUGGCCUUACAUGGUCAAAGGGACUUUGCAGAUGUGAUUAAAUGCAGGACCUCGAGGUGGGGAGAUGAUCCUAGAUUAUUCAGAUGUUCCCAAAAUGUAAUCACAAGCAUCUUUAGAAGGGAGAGACAAGUCUCAGACUCAAAGAGAGAGAUGAGGUAAUGAAAGCAGAGGUUGGGGAGAGAGAGUUCAAGAUGCUAUACUGCUUGAAGAUGAAGGGGGGCCCUGAGCCAAAGGAUGCAGGUACCUGUAGAAGCUGGGAAGGGCAAAGAAAUGAAUUCUCUGCUGGAGCCUCCAGAAGGCAUGCAGCCUUGCAGAUACCUUGCUUUUAGGAAUUCUGACCUCUAAAAUUGUAAGAUCAUAUAUUUGUGUUGUUUUAAACCACUAUGCUUGUUGUCAUUUGUUACCAUGGCCAGAAGAAAUGAAUGCAGACAAUUUCAAAUUUGAAGCUGAUGAGACUUUAACCUGCCAAAAAAUCAGAGUCUUGGACUCAGAAGGUCUUUCAACAGAGUCAUGAAAUCAGUCAUUCUUCAUGUGUGUGUAGUGUGAGCUCUCCUUAAGUGCCACAAAACACAUCCUUGCCCAUAUUGGUCCCCAAGAACCCCAGCGUGGAUGACAGUGCAUCACACAGAUGAAACUGGUAGAGUAUUUUCUGGAUGAAUGAGCAAAUAAGCAGUAAAUGCUGCAAUCUCUCUCUGGUUGAAGUCCUCAAUUCCUCUUGCCUGAACCAUUUCAAUAUCCACCUCAUAAGCCUCCAGGCUCCAAUCUUGUCUCCAUUCCAACCUGCUGCCAGGGUCUUCCUCUCAUGCAAGUGGUUAUGUACAUUUCAUCCAAAUAAAAUUCAAAUUCCUUAAAAUAGCAUAUAGCUCUUUUUGGCUUCCCUGGGCAACAUCAGAAGAAGAAUUGUCUUGGAUCACAUGUAAAAUAUAUUAACACUAACAACGGCUGAUGAGCUAAAAAAAAAAUAGUCACACAAAAAAAUAUCAUAAUAUCUUAAAAAAGUAUUGGGCCACAUGUGGUCUGUGUGCUGUGGGUUGGACAAGCUUGGUCGAAAGCCUUCUAUGGCCUCAGUCUAUCACUCGAGCAGAAACCACCAACACCCACAUGCUUUCCUGUCUGCGUUGGCAGAACUUCACUAUUAAGUUGCCCUCUCUAAUAUGACUUUACUAUUCUAAGAAAUCGUUGCCCAGGAAAUAAAAGUUACUAAUUGUAUUGUUUCAGGAACUUCCCAGAAAAACUAAUUUAAGUGAUUAUCAAACUACUCAACUCUUCAAUAACUAGUAUCAAGGAUUAUUUACUCUCCAAUACACUUCUGAGAACCCUGCCUUAAAACCCUCACCUUGCUGUCUUCACCAAUCCUGAACCAUUAUAUCAUGAUCCUUAAUCCUAUUCAAACUUCUUUCCCCAUUGAAAGACCUGCCAAACCCCCUAAACCUUACAAAUAGCCCAACUUUGUCAUACUCACAGAAAAUACUAUGCAGACUUUGUUGAGAUAGUUGUGUUGCUUACCAUGGGAAGCAGUAAACUCAGCUUUGCCUGACCAGCAGGUUGUUGGGGUGAUGUUUUUGGGGAGUCAGUACUGGACACCUAAGUAAACUUGUUACUUCAUGCUUCCCUCUUCUAGAAGGCAGAAUAAUGGCUGUCCAAAGAUGUCCACAUCUUAAUCUUAGGAACCUGUAAAUAUAUUUCCUUACAUAGCAAGGGGGAAUUAAGGUAGCAGAUAGAUUUAAUGUUGCUAAUCGGCUGACUUUGAAAUGAUGAGAUCAUUGAUACAGCUUGAAUAUAUGUCCCUGUCAAAUCUCAUGUUGAAUUGUAAUCCCCAGUGUUGGAAAUGGGGCCUGGUGGGAGGUGAUUGGGUCAUGGGGGCGGAUCCUUCAUGGCUUGGUGCUGUUGUGAUAAUGAGUGAAUUCUCAGGAGAUCUGGUUUUUAAGUGUGUGGCACCUUCCCCCUACUUGCUCUCUCUUGCCCUCAUUCUCACCAUAUGAGAUGCCUGCUCCAUCUUCUUCCACCCUGAUUGGAAGCUUCCUGAGGCCUCCCCAGAAGCCAACCAGAUACAGUCACUAUGCUUCCUACAUAGCCUGCAGAACCGUGAGCCAAAUAAACCUCUUUUCUUUAUAAAUUACCCAGGCUUAGGUAUUUCUUUAGAGCAAUGCAAGAAUGGCCUAAUACAAUUAUCCUAGAUUCUCCAGGUGGGAACCCAUGUAAACACAAGGAUCUUUACAUGUGGAAGGGGGAAACUGAAAGAGUCAGUGUCAAAUCGAUGAGAUGCAGGAAAGACUCAACCAACCGUUGCUGGCAUUGAAGAUGGAGGAUGGGGCCACAAGCCAAGGAAUGGGCAGCCUUAGAAGCUGAAAAAGGCAAGAAAUGCAUUUCUACCUGGAGCCUCCAGAAAGGAAUGCAACCCUGCCAACACCUAGAUUUUAGCCUGGCAAGAUCUGUAUUAGACCUCUGACCUCCAGAACUGUAAGAUAAUCUUGUGUUGUUUUAACCCAGCAAAUGUCUGUUCAUUUGUUUUGGCAGCAGUAGAAAACCAGCAUAUCUCUCCUUGCUGAUGCUCCUUUCUCCAUCUGAAAUCUCAAUCUGAUCUCACUCUUCUGCCUGUUGAAAUCCUGCCUACCCUUUCAUUUCAAUGGCAGAUCCACCUCCUCCAAGAUACACUUCCCUGAAC
rnacentral:lncRNA from 10 species